AGAAGUGUUCAAUAGUAAUCAACCCUGCAGUCUUUUUCUUUCUGGUUUUAGGUUUUUGUUCUUGCCUAGGAAGACCUUCUUCACCACAAAUGCCAGAAAACAUACUCUGUGUGUUUUAAUUCCUUGGACUUGAUUGAGACUUGUUUCAUGAUUCAGCAUAUGGUCUGCCUUGGCUAGUCCAGCAAUUCAGGAGCAGUUCCAUCUUUCUAAGUUUUUGUGAUUGUUGAAUGAGACCAAAGGAGAUAACAGAAGAACUUGAGAAACUCUAGCCCCAGCAUCUUGAAAUGAAUGACAAGAUACAGAAGUCUACAGCCAAAGGUAAAGAAGAGAGUCUAAAAACUCAAACGUAUCUAAAAGCCAUGACACAGAAGGCCUGGAGACUGCAUGGAAUGAUGAGGACUGCAGUGAACUCUGAAGUGCCUACCCAUGUGAAACGAACAAGUGCUAUUCGGAAGAAGCAGGUUGUGUUAAUGUGGAAGUAGCUGGAUGCCAGUUUUCUGAGAUUUGCCCAAACAUGGAUGACUUGCAUGUUACGAAAGGAUUUUGCCGUGUCAAAUGUUUUCAUUUCGUUUAUUAGUUAAGACAUAUAAUUCAAAACUCUUUGGCCACCUCUAGGAGUAUGUAUUUCAUUAAGAUUAUGUAAAAACUACUAAUAGUUUCACAAUUGAAUACAUAAGUAUGUGCCUAUUUGGGGAGGAAGGGGCAUUCAAAUGACAAUUAACAGUAACAGAGUAACAGAAACUGAAAUCUCCGGCCUACCUCUAGGUCCGUUCCCAAGAAUAACAUUGUUAGUCUCACCCCAAUUCUAUUUAGAAUUUAGUGCUAUUCAUCUGUAUCCUGAUAUAAUCAUUGUUAAAACAAUUAAUUUUGCUCUCAUUACGAAAAAAUAAAGAAUUUACCUAAAACCUAUCUCUUUUCCUCUUGUACAUCGAAGGUUUGUUAUAAUUUUCCAUUCUGCUAAUGAUUCUCAUUUUAAAGCAUUCAAAUUGAUGUUAAUUGCAUAAGGAAUACAGUAAUAUUUCCUCCUGAUAAAAAUCUAAAAUGUUACAAAUAAGGCUGUUACCCCUUUGAUUCUCAUUUUGAUCUACACAAAUAAUUGAAUAUUUGUAAGGCUGUGAUACAAUAAUCACAAAUAAGUGAUACAAUAAUCACUUUGGCCUCCCAAAGUGCUGGGAUUACAGGCAUGAGCCACUGCGUCUGGCCAACAUUUACUUUUAACGUGUUACUGAAACUACUAUUCAGGUUGAGUAUGUACAUAAUGGAAGCUGACUCAAAAUUUAACUGCUCCUAUAAGAAAAAAAACUAUGCAUUUUCAUAUUAUUGUCCAUCCAUUCAUUUAUUCAUUCAUUAAAUUGUGUAUUUAUUAAUGCAGAGCCAGAUAUUAUGAAUACUCAGAUGAUUAAGAACCAUAUAUUACUCUCAAGAAUACACUGUGAAGUGAAAAGAUCAAUGGUCAGUCCCAGACAUCGAUUUCCAAGCAAAUAUUAAGUCAUUAGAUCAAUAGUAGCCAAUAAUAGGACCAAGCCUCUUUCCCUUUGGAUUCCUAUCCAGCUGUUGCCUCUGUGAGCAAUGCAGCUUCCUAAUUUCUUUGGUAUACAAGCUUUUCUACUGUUUUCUUUACAUUUCUAAGGCCUCUGGCCACCACUUUUAACAUCUAGUUUAUUAAUUGUCACUACUUAAGUUAAUCUUUGUUCUAAGAAACAUAUUUUCUCAAAAAGAUCUAGAAAGAGAUAAGUUUCAUUAAUGGAGACUUUUCAUAUUAAAAAGUUGCUGGAAACCGUUUUCUCAUGCUUUUAAAAAAUAAUUAUUUUAAGAAUAAGGUGGUAUUCCAAUAAAGGUCAUAAUUAACAUAAACUUAAUAAAAUUUGACCUAGGGAGGGUUUACUUAAUGUAAGCUUCAUUAGAAAUCUCUUUUAUUCUAAAAUAUUAAACCUAAUCAACCCAAACAAAAUUACUCAGCAUGCUGAAUAUGAUACUGAAUGUAGUUCUGUACAGUGUUUUCUUUAAAUUUGAAAGGUCAAUCCAGACUAUCAACCCAUGACCAGCAAUUACCCAUUACAGAAUCGUCAAUAAUUUUAACUUUGAAAAUAGUAGACAGAAAAUGGGAGUUCAUAAUUAUUUGCUGAAUGAGUGAAUGGGAGCUGGAACAGGACUCAGGCAACCUAGUGUAAUUACAACUAGUUUGUAUUCCCUGGCCCUAGUUACCUCAUCUGCAGAGUGAGAUGCGUGGAUACUGUUCGAUUGUAACAUAUUUUAUAUGUAUUAGGUUGGUGCAAAAGUAAUUGUAAUUUUUGGCCUUACUUUCAUUGGCAAAAACUACAAUUACUUUUGCACCAAUCUAAAUACUUUCUAUAUACUGGUGAAGACAGAAAUUCAAUGAUUCAAAAAUACAAUAGGAAUGUUUUUCCCUUCCAAGUACUUUCAGUUUAGAAAAAUGGCCAAAAUUUCUGUCUGUGAUAGUUCUAAUAUUGAAAAAGUAAAGGUAAUAUAAACCAUAAUAAACAGCAUAAGUAUAUUUUAUGUGAUUAUUUUGAUCAUUUAUUCCCCAAUACUAUAUGACUAUUUCCUGUGUGACAUGCACCCCACCAAGUGCUUAGUAUGUAAUAUAAAAAUAUAGACAUACCUCAUUUUAUUGCACUUUAUUUUAUUGUACUUUGUAUUAUGUUUUUUACAAAUUGAAGGUUUAUAGAAAUUCUGCAUCCAGCAAGUCUAUCAGUGCUCUUUUUCUAAUAGCAUGUCCUCACUUUCUGUCUCUGUGUCACAUUUUGGUAAUUCCCACAGUACUUCAAACUUUUUUAUUAUUAAUAUAUCUGUUACUGUUAUCUGUCAUCAGUGAUCUUGCAUGUUAUUUUUGUAAUUGUAUUGUAAUUGUACUGGGGCACCUGAACUGUGCCCACAGGACAAAUAAGAUGGCAAACUUAAUCAAUAAAUGUUCUGUGUAUUCUGACUGCUCCACC
ensembl:lncRNA novel transcript